rnacentral:rRNA from 1 species
AAUGCCUAGGAAUCUGCCUGGUAGUGGGGGAUAACGUUCGGAAACGGACGCUAAUACCGCAUACGUCCUACGGGAGAAAGCAGGGGACCUUCGGGCCUUGCGCUAUCAGAUGAGCCUAGGUCGGAUUAGCUAGUUGGUGAGGUAAUGGCUCACCAAGGCGACGAUCCGUAACUGGUCUGAGAGGAUGAUCAGUCACACUGGAACUGAGACACGGUCCAGACUCCUACGGGAGGCAGCAGUGGGGAAUAUUGGACAAUGGGCGAAAGCCUGAUCCAGCCAUGCCGCGUGUGUGAAGAAGGUCUUCGGAUUGUAAAGCACUUUAAGUUGGGAGGAAGGGCAGUUACCUAAUACGUGAUUGUUUUGACGUUACCGACAGAAUAAGCACCGGCUAACUCUGUGCCAGCAGCCGCGGUAAUACAGAGGGUGCAAGCGUUAAUCGGAAUUACUGGGCGUAAAGCGCGCGUAGGUGGUUAGUUAAGUUGGAUGUGAAAUCCCCGGGCUCAACCUGGGAACUGCAUUCAAAACUGACUGACUAGAGUAUGGUAGAGGGUGGUGGAAUUUCCUGUGUAGCGGUGAAAUGCGUAGAUAUAGGAAGGAACACCAGUGGCG